GAUGAACGCUGGCGGCGUGCCUAAUACAUGCAAGUCGAGCGAACAGACGAGGAGCUUGCUCCUCUGACGUUAGCGGCGGACGGGUGAGUAACACGUGGAUAACCUACCUAUAAGACUGGGAUAACUUCGGGAAACCGGAGCUAAUACCGGAUAAUAUAUUGAACCGCAUGGUUCAAUAGUGAAAGACGGUUUUGCUGUCACUUAUAGAUGGAUCCGCGCCGCAUUAGCUAGUUGGUAAGGUAACGGCUUACCAAGGCAACGAUGCGUAGCCGACCUGAGAGGGUGAUCGGCCACACUGGAACUGAGACACGGUCCAGACUCCUACGGGAGGCAGCAGUAGGGAAUCUUCCGCAAGGGGCGAAAGCUUGACGGAGCAACGCCGCGUGAGUGAUGAAGGUCUUCGGAUCGUAACUCUGUUAUUAGGGAAGAACAAAUGUGUAAGUAACUAUGCACGUCUUGACGGUACCUAAUCAGAAAGCCACGGCUAACUACGUG
rnacentral:rRNA from 1 species